AAAAGUAACACAAUAAUAAACAAGUUAAGGAGAUAGAGAGAAAGAUCACACAAGCAAUUUAUACUGGUUCCUCUCACAAAACGAGAGUAGUCCAGUCCCCUUGCACUUCCAAGGGAGUUCACUAUAAUCACACAAGAUUACACCUGCUCAAGCACACAAGCAAGAGACUUCACAACUAUGCUCAAGCACACAAGCUUAAGACUACACACUUAAACACACAAGUUUAAGUUACACACUUAAGCACACAAGCUUAAGUUUCCUCAAGUAAUGGUAAAGUAUAUAAAAAUAUACAAAUGCUCUUAGAUGAACCUAAAGAGAACAAAUACAAAUAGUACAGAGUAUUUGGCUAAAGU
rnacentral:lncRNA from 1 species